rnacentral:lncRNA from 1 species
GAUAAAAGACUGAAAGUGGGUUGGUGGGUAAACCUAAACGACAUACAAGGUUGGUACAUAAUGUGAACUUGAAUCCAAGAUUAUGGAGCUCUUUGGUUCAAAAUUUCCUCAGCAUAUAUCUUCACGUCCAAUCCAAGAUUAUAGAGGAUUCCUCCUCCAACCCAUAAAUCAACAUGAAUAUACAAGAGCAGAGGCCACAAAAAUCAUCUGCUUUUUUCCACUGGAGACCAAGUCAAUACUUUUUUUUUCUUCUUUCUUUUUUUUUUUUUUUUUUCACGAAAUGGACCAAGUCAAUACUCACCACAAAAUCCAAGUAGGAAACCGACAUGUAGACUGUAGCCGAGCCCACUUGACAAAUAGGUAUGACUUCAAAGUCAACAAGUCAAUACAUAAAGCACCGCAAUAAAAUCAUGGUUACAGCCGAGUGGGCAACAGAUGCAACUCUAUAAAAUAUUUUGAUGAGCAUUAGAAUCCAAAUUGUUAGCACUAGGCCUGCAAUUCGGCCAGAUCGGAUCGGAAAAAGCCAUUCUAAUUUCCGCCCAAAAAUUUUCGGACUUCAAUAAACACUUCCGAUUCCGAUUCUGAAAAAUUUCGGAAAAAUUUGGAACUUUCCGAUUCCGAAGUUCUGAAUUCUUCAGAAAAUAAUCUACAAAUUUUAAACUUAACUGAAAAAAUUAAUAUUAAAAAUCCCAAUUAGACUUCUAUUUAAGAAAGCCCGACUAGAUGUUUCAUAAAUUGAAGUUUGCUCGAUGUUGUUUAGGGUGAACAUAUUCAUAGAGAAGAAAACAUCCAAAGUUUAUGUUUCGGUCGAUAUGGGACUCCAACAACUCUCAGAAAUGGGUUUGCUGCAUGAGAGCUCUUCUUGCUCUCAUCUAUUUCUCAAAUAUCAAUGCAGGCGUUUUGCUCUGACACAUGAUGAUAUUUCUUCUUGGUCUGGGUCUUCCCAAGAUGUUAAACUUUGAUUUUCAAGUUUAUAGUUCGAU